rnacentral:rRNA from 1 species
GACGAACGCUGGCGGCGCGCCUAACACAUGCAAGUCGAGCGAGAAGCCGAGGGCUUGCCCUUGGUGGACAGCGGCGAACGGGUGAGUAACACGUGAGCAACCUGCCCCGAAGACCGGGAUAACACCGGGAAACCGGUGCUAAUACCGGAUGCCCUCUCCGGACCGCAUGAUCCGGCGAGGAAAGGAUUUAUCGCUUCGGGAUGGAUUCGCGUCCUAUCAGCUUGUUGGUGGGGUAACGGCCCACCAAGGCAACGACGGGUAGCUGGUCUGAGAGGAUGUCCAGCCACACUGGGACUGAGACACGGCCCAGACUCCUACGGGAGGCAGCAGUGGGGAAUCUUGCGCAAUGGACGAAAGUCUGACGCAGCGACGCCGCGUGGGGAUGAAGGUCUUCGGAUUGUAAACCCCUUUCGGGAGGGAAGAUGGAACGAGCAAUCGUUCGGACGGUACCUCCAGAAGCAGCCACGGCUAACUUCGUGCCAGCAGCCGC